GGGCUCCGAGCCCGGCGGGACUAUGUUCACCAGCACCGGCUCCAGUGGGCUCUUCUCCAAGAAGAGUUUUUAGACAAACACUGAUGAGAGUGCUUUCAAGUGGAGGGAAGUUAGGAAGUCGUGGCGAGGGAGCGCAGCUGUGCUGCUGGAUGUUGCUGUUUUCCUGGCGUGUUAGCGGUGGUCAGCAGACAAGGCGCCUCUGUCGAAGAGCCUUCUGCUGGUCCCCAGUGCCCUCUCCCUCCUGCUCGCCCUCCUCCUGCCUCACUGCCAGAAGCUCUUUGUGUAUGACCUUCACGCAGUCAAGAACGACUUCCAGAUUUGGAGGUUGAUAUGUGGAAGAAUAAUUUGCCUUGAUUUGAAAGAUACUUUCUGCAGUAGUCUGCUUAUUUAUAAUUUUAGGAUAUUUGAAAGAAGAUAUGGAAGCAGAAAAUUUGCAUCCUUUUUGCUGGGUUCCUGGGUUUUGUCAGCCUUAUUUGACUUUCUCCUCAUCGAAGCUAUGCAGUAUUUCUUUGGCAUCACUGCAGCUAGUAAUUUGCCUUCUGGAUUCCUGGCACCUGUGUUUGCUCUGUUUGUACCAUUUUACUGCUCCAUACCAAGAGUCCAAGUGGCACAAAUUCUGGGCCCGUUGUCCAUCACAAACAAGACAUUGAUUUAUAUAUUGGGACUGCAGCUUUUCACCUCUGGUUCCUACAUCUGGAUUGUAGCCAUAAGUGGACUUAUGUCCGGUCUGUGCUACGACAGCAAAAUGUUCCAGGUGCAUCAGGUGCUCUGCAUCCCCAGCUGGAUGGCAAAAUUCUUUUCUUGGACACUUGAACCCAUCUUCUCUUCUUCAGAACCCACCAGCGAAGCCAGAAUUGGGAUGGGAGCCACGCUGGACAUCCAGAGACAGCAGAGAAUGGAGCUGCUGGACCGGCAGCUGAUGUUCUCUCAGUUUGCACAAGGGAGGCGACAGAGACAGCAGCAG
rnacentral:sRNA from 1 species